CAGAGUCUCACUCUGUCACGCAGGCUGGAAUGCAGUGGUGGGAUCUUGGCUUACUGCAACCUCCACCUCCCGGUUCAAGAAAUUCUCCUGCCUCAGCCUCUUGAGCAGCAGCUGGGAUUACAGCACAGGACCACCCAGGUGGGACACCUGCUUCAUGCAGAGCCCCAGCACAGACAGCAGUGGGAGGAAGGGCUCUCUGCUUGAAGGGCUCAUAUUUCAGGGAGAAUGAAAGGCGACGGAUGCUCUGAUGAGGCCAAAAAGCAUCCCACAGGCUAUUCUCUGCCCAGCCUAAGCAAAGGACACUGCUGUCAGCACUGAGGAGACCCUUCAACAAAGGUCAUGAUCCUGGCUGCUCCCUGCAGAUUGAAAAGGUUGACUUCUAGAUCUAUACGUGACCAGCUUAAUUCUAGAGAGACUGUCUGAAGUACUUCACUGUGUUUACUUUCCACGUCAUUUAUCACUGACAUCGUCUCAUGCAUGAAAGUGCAAGGAGAUUUAAGGAGCUGGCAUUUUCUCACAAGGUCUCCUUUAGUGGAACGGUGCCUAACAUGCUACUUACCUCACGCUGCCACUGAAACAUAACUCGUCUCUCCCCAGCACUUCCAUCUUCCACGGAACAGCACAGUCUUCAGCAAGUAGAGAGCUCUACUCAGAACUCUUAGUCCUAUUGUGCUAAAAUGUGCAUCACAUGCACAGGGUUAGGUCACAAUCUGUCUUCGCACUUCAAUUCCCAGGUCUCAAAAACAGCUGGACAGAACCUGGUUUUGUAAUAGCAAGUCACCUGAAUGACCAAGAAAUUCUCAAACAGCACAAAGAAGACAAAAAGAAAAUACUACUUCUUUGAGUUUGAAGAAGACCGAGUUUAUGUGCCUCAUUAUGGAUUUUUACUUCUUCGAUUUGUUUUCAUUCUUCCA